UCAUGGGAUAUGCAAGCCCAGAGAAAGAUCAUACUAUUCCCUCAAUCUUGGUUGACCUUAGAGAGCACGGGCCAAAAUAUUGCUGCUUUUUCCUUGGCCCUUUUUCUUCCUUGUCUUUGGUCUCCAAAUUUUGGACAGCCAGCAGCAAUUCAACUUGAUUUUUCAUCUGCAUAAUCAAGGAUUUGUUGGAAGGAUACUGGGAGAGGCUCAUAGGACUGAAUGAAGAACCAAACAAUUACACCUCAAGGAGACCAAGGGGUAGAGUUCGCCUGCAUCCACCUGGGGAGUCACCCCAGGCUGGGGUUCCUUAUUCACCAAAGCAUGGCUCCACAGCCCAACAUCAGGAUACUUAUAGGCUUGGGACUGUCACCGCCACAAAACUGGGAUAGCACCGCUUCUAUCAAGGGACAACAAUAAGGACGUGAUUGGAGAAAAAACUUGCUCUCAUACUUUGGGGUUUUGAUUUGGAAAACUAGAAAACAAUGUGAGACUCUGACUUCUAAACAGGUCGGCUAACUAUUACCAUCACAAAUAUCCUUCUGUGUGUCUCUUGCCCUUCCCUGCCCUCAACCUUUGGAUGAUGCUGUCCCCUGGUGGUCACUAUGAACGGCUUCUCUAGCUCAGUAGCUCUUUUGCAGACUUAAUCACUCUGGCUCGUAGUUUGAUGAAGACAGCUCACCUCUGCUGGAUGAACUGUUAUGCAAUUCCCAGCACCAAAAAAAGCAACAUCAGAAGAUGGGUGACUAUUUAUUUACACGUUUGUUAUCGUUUCUGCUGGAGAAUAAAGAAUGAGUCUGAAUUCUAAAAGCCCAGCCUGCAGGAAGCCCCAUCAUUCUCUCCACACUUCUGCUGUCACUCCCAUUGUAGGCAGAACAUUAUUCAAACUGCAGGCUCCAAACUCCCAGAUCCUAACCCACUCCUGUUCACACAGACAAUGAGAAAAUCUAUGUCGAAUCACAACAGUACUCUGGAGGACAAGGCUGAAAUGCAAGUGUGGCCGGGUUCUUGGUUUCUUUUUUCUUCAAUCUCACAGUCUCAAUGUUAUCAGAGGCUGGGAGAGACUGCUAGAGAGAAACACCAAGAACAUCCUGUGGUGAUGGUCAGCACACACUCAGAACUGAUUAACAGCUUGACCGCACAGCCCCGGGCACCCACAGAGAGUGGCCCUGCCCCGGGCUCUCAGGCUGGAGAAGUGGUUUCUUCCAAAGGCAAAGAACCUUCGACCCACGGGCUCCAUCAGGCCCAUCAGGUCAACCGUUGGUUUACAGAACAUCGGCAAUUGUCUUUCUCCUUGUGUCAGGAGCCUCUUGAAACAUUAUACGAGGAUAAUUAAGUGGUGAAUAAGGGUCAAUGUGGACAAAUAAAUCAAACUGAUAGUUUGAACACAGACUGAUUGAGCAAAAACAAGGAAUUCUGCUAUGCCUGUUACUGCAGCGCUUGAUGUUAACUGACUUGGUUAACAUUACAUCCAAAGGCAGCAAGUGGGAACGCUUUGUGUGGGAUCAAAAGCUGAGCAAAGAGACACGGGAUUUAAUUGUUCAGCUUUAUUUUUGAAAUAAAGACAUGCAGCGCCUCCA